AUUGAACGCUGGCGGCAGGCCUAACACAUGCAAGUCGAGCGGAGCGGCGAACGGGUGAGUAACGCGGGAGUAACUGCCCCCCUCUCUGGGAUAACAGUUGGAAACGGCUGCUAAUACCGGAUAGUGGGGGAUGACUCGCGUCCUAUCAGCGUGUUGGUGGGGUAGUGGCCUACCAAGGCGACGACGGGUAGCCGGCCUGAGAGGGCGACCGGCCACCUUUGGAUGAGAGACGGCCCAAACGCCUACGGGCGGCAGCCGUGGAGAAUAUUACGUAGUGGGGUCCACCCUGAUGCAGCAGCGCCGCGUGCGGGAUGAUGGCCUUCUGGUUGUAAACCGCUUUCAGCCAUGACGCGGUAGUGGCAGAAGAAGCACCGGCUAACUACGUGCCAGCAGCCGCGGUAAUAC
rnacentral:rRNA from 1 species